rnacentral:rRNA from 1 species
AACGUAGGUGGCGAGCGUUAUCCGGAUUUACUGGGCGUAAAGAGCGCGCAGGCGGUCGUUCAAGUCGAGUGUGAAAGCCCCCGGCUCAACUGGGGAGGGUCACUCGAUACUGAUCGACUCGAAGGCAGGAGAGGGAAGUGGAAUUCCCGGUGUAGUGGUGAAAUGCGUAGAUAUCGGGAGGAACACCAGUGGCGAAGGCGACUUCCUGGCCUGUUCUUGACGCUGAGGCGCGAAAGCUAGGGGAGCAAACGGG